UACGUAGGGGGCAAGCGUUGUCCGGAUUUAUUGGGCGUAAAGCGCUCGCAGGUGGUUCGUCGCGUCGUGCGUGAAAGACCCCGGCUCAACUGGGGGAGGUCGUGCGAUACGGGCGGACUGGAGGCCAGUAGGGGGAUGCGGAAUUCCGGGUGUAGUGGUGGAAUGCGUAGAGAUGUGGAGGAAUACCGAUGGCGAAGGCAGCCCCCUGGGAUAACACUGACGCUCAUGCACGAAAGCGUGGGGAGCAAACAGG
rnacentral:rRNA from 1 species